rnacentral:lncRNA from 1 species
UUCCGUGUUCCAUGUUUUAUUACGAAUCUGUGUGUUUUCCUCUGCUUUCCUCUGUUUUAUAUUACUUAUAGGUGCCGUAUUUAUGUAUGUUAUGUAAUCUGCUUCUGUGCUUUAUAAUGUGUUUGUGUGGUAUCUCGUGCCUUGAGCCGGGGGUCUAUCGGAAACAGCCUUUCUACUUCUUUAGAGGUAGAGGUAUGGACUGCGUACAUCUUACCCCCUAGACCCCACUAGGUGGGAAUACACUGGGUUUGUUGUUGUUGUUGUUGUAGAUGAGUAGACAUAAUCCUGACAAUCUCAGAAGCUCACACAUGUAAUUGUCUUUAAAACAUAACUCACAAUGGUUAUUAUUUAAUGUCUUAAUAGCCCACUUUAACGGACACUUCUUUUCAAAAAUCCCUCAGUUUAAAAGAGUUUGCAAAAGCACAACUUUUAGUGCUUUGCUACUAGUUACUUUUCAAUAUUGAGGCACGGUGUUUAAGAAAGAAAGAAAACACUUUUGAACUUGUGGCCUUAAACAUGGGGGUUUUGUUGCUGUAAUAACAUGUCACUAAUGGUUAAAUGGUACGAUCAACUUAAAUGUUUUCAAAUAUAGAAGGUGUCAAUGUUUUUGGGAUAGACUAAUAAAGAAAUGGUGUCACAAAAUAUGGAAUGGAAGAGUAAUAUAUGGCUGUGAGGAGAGAUUUAUUCGUUCUGUCUGAAUCUGAUUUAGUAUAUAGAAGAGGGGGUAUCAUAUUAUGAAGAGAGAGCGCAGCUCAAACCCAAGUUUCCAUCUGCUCUAUGUAAAAAACAAUUUUUUUGUCGAAUACAACGUUACAUUGUGUGGCUUCACCUCAUAUAUAAAGAUAAGUUGCUAGCAGGAAAAAAUUUGCUCACCUCUUCUCAGCUAAUUGAUUAUUUUUCUCAAAAUACUUGAACUUUAAAAAGGACACAGGGCCAUAGUCCUCGUCUAGGAAUAUUUAAAACCCAUGACAAAUUUUGAAGAGAUGAAAGACAUAAAACAAACAGCAGAUAAGAAGCAGCUGCCUUCUUGAAAGAAGUAAUAAGAUAAUCUAAUAACUGAGCAGAAGCAUGAUAGUUAUGGUGCAACACCCCUUAAAGCUUGUCAUCUUCUUUAUCUCAUAAUCCUCUUAAUAACCACUUCGGCAAGAAAAGAAGAAAAGGUUUUUCGUCUCGAUUCCUUCACCCAUUUUCUAUAUCCACUAUCACAUUACUUUUGCUAGUUAAUAUUUCCACCAUUCCAUCAACUCUUUAAAAAGAUCAAGUUAGGCACAGAAACAAAUUUGUGCUCUGUAUCUAAUACAUUAUGGCUGAUAAAUUGAUUAAAAUACCGCCUAAACGGCUAGACCUUCAUAGUAAAUAUUUUAAAGAUCACAAACUGGAAAAGCAAUUACAAACUUUGUCCAAGGUCCAUUUACUUUUAUGAUAUAGAAGUAUUUAAGUAAUUACAACUACAACAACAACAUACCUAGUGUAUUCCCACAAAGUGGCGUUUGGGGAGGGUAAAGUGUACGCAGUCCAUACCACUACCUCAGAUGAAGUAGAGUUGUUUCCGAUGGACCCCAGGCACAAGACAACUAAC